UACGAAGGGGGCUAGCGUUGCUCGGAAUCACUGGGCGUAAAGCGCACGUAGGCGGAUCUUUAAGUCAGGGGUGAAAUCCUGGAGCUCAACUCCAGAACUGCCUUUGAUACUGGGGAUCUCGAGUCCGGAAGAGGUGAGUGGAAUUCCCGGUGUAGCGGUGAAAUGCGCAGAUAUCGGGAGGAACACCAAUGGCGAAGGCAGCUCGCUGGGACGGUACUGACGCUGAGACGCGAAAGCGUGGGGAGCAACAGG
rnacentral:rRNA from 1 species